CCCGCCCUCUUUUGGCUCCAUUUUCAUGUGACGGUUCACGUUCGCUUCACUCCACCAAAACAAAUCACGAAAAAGAAAGCAAAAUAUACGAAAAUUUAGAACCUCCCUCCUACCAUCUUCUUCUUCUUCUCCUUCUCCUUCCUCCUCUCUCUCUCUCCUCUCUCUCUCUCUCUCUCUCUCUCUCUCUGAUAUUUUUAGUUCACCUCCAAAACACACACACACACACUCUCUCUCUCUCUCUCUCACUUUUGGCCUUUAUACGAAAAUAUCUCCUCCCCCACACUCAGAUUCUCUUUUAAAUUCCUUUAUGCUAAUAUUUUCAGCUGAUCAUUUCAUCACUCUUAAGAACCUCACACUCUCACAAACCAAAAACGCACUUCAAAGAUAUACUAUUGAGGAUUGAGAAGCUGCUGGAAGCUCAGCCAUGGCGCCUACUGCGAAAUCGAACGGGAAAACCAUCACAGACUCCGCCAUUUCGUCCAAGAUUCCGGCAACCGCAAACCCUUUAGCCGAAGAGCCGUCGCAGAUUGCUUCCAACAUCAAUUACCACGCCAAAUUCAGCCCCCACUUCUCGCCGUUCAAGUUCGAGCCGGAGCAAGCCUACUACGCCACCGCCGACAGCGUCCGCGAUCGCCUGAUCCAACAAUGGAACGAGACGUACCUGCAUUUCCACAAGGAGAAUCCCAAGCAGACUUACUACUUGUCCAUGGAGUAUCUUCAAGGACGAGCCUUGACCAAUGCGAUUGGGAAUUUGAAUGUUCAGAGUGCUUAUGCUGAUGCUUUGAACAAGUUGGGGCAUCAGCUGGAGGAAAUAACAGAGCAGGAGAAAGAUGCGGCACUUGGAAAUGGUGGGCUGGGAAGGCUUGCUUCGUGCUUUCUAGACUCCAUGGCAACAUUGAAUUUGCCUGCAUGGGGGUAUGGUUUGAGGUACAGGUACGGGCUGUUCAAGCAGCGGAUUGCCGAGGAUGGCCAGGAAGAAACUGCUGAGGAUUGGCUAGAGAAAUUUAGUCCUUGGGAAGUUGUCAGGCAUGAUGUUAUGUACCCUGUCAGAUUUUUUGGCCGUGUUCAUGUCAAUCCUGAUGGAUCCCGAAAGUGGGUUGAGGGAGAGGUUUUGCAAGCUCUGGCUUAUGAUGUGCCAAUUCCAGGAUACAAAACCAAGAACACUAUUAGUCUCCGUCUAUGGGAAGCCAAAGCAUCUGCUGAGGAUUUUAACCUAUUUCAGUUUAAUGAUGGACAGUAUGAAUCUGCUGCGCAGCUUCAUUCUCGAGCGCAACAGAUUUGUGCUGUUCUAUAUCCUGGAGAUGCCACAGAGGAGGGGAAACUUUUAAGGCUGAAGCAACAAUUUUUCCUCUGCAGUGCAUCACUUCAGGACAUUAUUUUUAGAUUCAAGGAGAGGAAACAGGGGACAGACACAUUGCAUUGGUCAGAGUUCCCAAAAAAGGUUGCUGUCCAAAUGAACGAUACUCAUCCUACACUGGCAAUUCCGGAGCUGAUGCGACUGCUAUUGGAUGAGGAAGGUCUUGGGUGGGAUGAGGCAUGGGAAGUGACAACAAGGACGGUUGCUUAUACUAAUCACACAGUCCUUCCUGAAGCACUUGAGAAAUGGUCACAAGCCGUAAUGUGGAAGCUUCUCCCUCGCCAUAUGCAAAUAAUAGAAGAAAUUGACAAAAGAUUCAUUGCUAUGGUACGUGCUACACGAAGUGAUCUUGAGAGCAAAAUUCCCAGCUUGUGCGUCUUGGAUAACAAUCCCCAAAAGCCUGUAGUGCGAAUGGCAAAUUUAUGUGUGGUGUCUGCACAUACGGUUAAUGGUGUUGCCCAAUUGCACAGUGAUAUUUUAAAAAAUGAGUUAUUUGUAGACUAUGUCUCUAUAUGGCCAACAAAGUUCCAAAACAAAACCAAUGGGAUUACUCCUCGCCGGUGGCUUCGGUUUUGCAGUCCUGAGCUCAGUAAUAUAAUCACCAAAUGGUUAAAAACGGAUGAAUGGGUGACCAACCUGGACCUACUUGUAGGUCUUCGAAAGUUUGCUGAUGAUUCAAAAUUACAAGAAGAAUGGGCGUCUGCCAAGAUGGCCAAUAAGAAGCGUUUGGUGCAGUACAUAGAGCAUGUGGCAGGUGUCAAGAUUGACCCAAACACUCUAUUUGACAUACAAGUGAAGCGUAUCCAUGAAUAUAAGAGACAGUUGCUGAAUAUUCUGGGCGCAGUUUAUCGGUACAAGAAGUUAAAGGAGAUGAGCCCUGAAGAUCGGAAGAAGACAACUCCACGCACUAUCAUGAUUGGAGGAAAAGCAUUUGCAACAUAUACAAAUGCAAAAAGAAUAGUCAAGCUGGUAGAUGAUGUCGGUGCUGUGGUCAACAAUGAUCCUGAUAUCAAUAGUUACUUGAAGGUUGUAUUUGUUCCAAACUACAAUGUAUCUGUGGCCGAGAUACUUAUCCCAGGAAGUGAGCUGUCACAACAUAUCAGUACUGCAGGCAUGGAGGCAAGUGGCACGAGCAACAUGAAAUUUGCUCUGAACGGCUGCCUCAUAAUCGGCACACUGGAUGGGGCUAAUGUGGAAAUCCGUGAGGAAAUUGGGGAUGACAACUUUUUUCUCUUUGGUGCAACAGCUGAUGAAGUCCCUAAGCUGCGCAAGGACAGAGAGAACGGCCUGUUCAAACCCGAUCCUCGGUUUGAAGAAGCCAAGCAGUUUGUUAGGAGUGGAGCAUUUGGGAGCUACGAUUACAAUCCACUUCUUGACUCUCUGGAGGGGAACACUGGUUAUGGUCGUGGUGAUUAUUUUCUUGUUGGCCAUGACUUUGCACAGUAUGUGGAUGCUCAGGCAAAAGUAGAUGAAGCUUACAAGGAUAGGAAAAGGUGGCUGAAGAUGUCCAUACUAAGCACUGCAGGGUCUGGCAAGUUCAGCAGCGACCGGACAAUUGCUCAGUACGCCAAGGAAAUCUGGAACAUAGAGGAGUGCCGCGUACCAUAGAUCCCUUCACGGUGCUGGUUCUGAUGCUUAUUUGAAUGUUAUAACCAUGCCACGAAAAGCUUAAGACGUUUAUUUUUGUACCUCGAUCGAUCCAAAAAAAUUAACCAAUGAAGUGCAGGAAGAGAAAGAAUGCGUUUGGGAAUUGUUUUCGCUAUGAUUGUAUCACUGAUAUAAUUAUUUGGUCCAUUUAUGAUUACUUAACAAUGUAACUAGUGACCUCAAAAGCUUCUAUUUUCGGUUGGAAAGCAUUUCCCAACAUGCUCAUAGUUUUGGUGUAUUUUAGUUUGAAAACUUCGUCGAUUACUAUGAAAGGGAAAUAUCAUUGCUCCAUUUGGUUGUUUUGGAUCUA